rnacentral:rRNA from 1 species
GAUGAACGCUGGCGGCGCGCCUAACACAUGCAAGUCGAACGGCACCCCUCUCCGGAGGGAAGCGAGUGGCGAACGGCUGAGUAACACGUGGAGAACCUGCCCCCUCCCCCGGGAUAGCCGCCCGAAAGGACGGGUAAUACCGGAUACCCCGGGGUGCCGCAUGGCGCCCCGGCUAAAGCCCCGACGGGAGGGGAUGGCUCCGCGGCCCAUCAGGUAGACGGCGGGGUGACGGCCCACCGUGCCGACAACGGGUAGCCGGGUUGAGAGACCGACCGGCCAGAUUGGGACUGAGACACGGCCCAGACUCCUACGGGAGGCAGCAGUGGGGAAUCUUGCGCAAUGGGGGGAACCCUGACGCAGCGACGCCGCGUGCGGGACGGAGGCCUUCGGGUCGUAAACCGCUUUCAGCAGGGAAGAGUCAAGAC